GACGAACGCUGGCGGCGUGCUUAACACAUGCAAGUCGAACGGAAAGGCCCUGCUUUUGUGGGGUGCUCGAGUGGCGAACGGGUGAGUAACACGUGAGUAACCUGCCCUUGACUUUGGGAUAACUUCAGGAAACUGGGGCUAAUACCGGAUAGGAGCUCCUGCUGCAUGGUGGGGGUUGGAAAGUUUCGGCGGUUGGGGAUGGACUCGCGGCUUAUCAGCUUGUUUGUGGGGUAGUGGCUUACCAAGGCUUUGACGGGUAGCCGGCCUGAGAGGGUGACCGGCCACAAUGGGACUAAGAUACGGCCCAGACUCCUACGGGAGGCAGCAGUGGGGAAUAUGGCACAAUGGGCGGAAGCCUGAUGCAGCAACGCCGCGUGCGGGAUGACGGCCUUCGGGUUGUAAACCGCUUUCGCCUGUGACGAAGCGUGAGUGACGGUAAUGGGUAAAGAAGCACCGGCUAACUACGUG
rnacentral:rRNA from 1 species